rnacentral:rRNA from 1 species
GAUGAACGCUGGCGGCGUGCUUAACACAUGCAAGUCGAACGGAAAGGCCCAAGCUUGCUUGGGUACUCGAGUGGCGAACGGGUGAGUAACACGUGGGUGAUCUGCCCUGCACUUCGGGAUAAGCCUGGGAAACUGGGUCUAAUACCGGAUAGGACCACAUUUUGGAUGGUGUGGUGGAAAGGUUUUCGGUGUGGGAUGAGCUCGCGGCCUAUCAGCUUGUUGGUGGGGUAAUGGCCUACCAAGGCGGCGACGGGUAGCCGGCCUGAGAGGGUGUACGGCCACAUUGGGACUGAGAGACGGCCCAGACUCCUACGGGAGGCAGCAGUGGGGAAUAUUGCACAAUGGGCGCAAGCCUGAUGCAGCGACGCCGCGUGGGGGAUGACGGCCUUCGGGUUGUAAACUCAUUUCGCUAGGGACGAAGCGUUAUGUGACGGUACCUGGAGAAGAAGCACCGGCUAACUACGUG